rnacentral:rRNA from 1 species
GACGAACGCUGGCGGCGUGCUUAACACAUGCAAGUCGAACGGAAAGGCCCUGCUUUUGCGGGGUGCUCGAGUGGCGAACGGGUGAGUAACACGUGAGUAACCUGCCCUUGACUUUGGGAUAACUUCAGGAAACUGGGGCUAAUACCGGAUAGGAGCUCCUGCUGCAUGGGGGGGGUUGGAAAGUUUCGGCGGUUGGGGAUGGACUCGCGGCUUAUCAGCUUGUUGGUGGGGUAGUGGCUUACCAAGGCUUUGACGGGUAGCCGGCCUGAGAGGGUGACCGGCCACCAUGGGCCUGCGAUACGGCCCAGACUCCUACGUGCGGCAGCAGUGGGGAAUAUUGCACAAUGGGCGGAAGCCUGAUGCAGCAACGCCGCGUUCGGGAUGACGGCCUUCUGGUUGUAAACCGCUUUCGCCUGUGACGAAGCGUGAGUGACGGUAAUUGGUAAAGAAGCACCGGCUAACUACGUG